GGGUUGUGAGGUUAAGCGACUAAGCGUACACGGUGGAUGCCCUGGCAGUCAGAGGCGAUGAAGGACGUGCUAAUCUGCGAUAAGCGUCGGUAAGGUGAUAUGAACCGUUAUAACCGGCGAUUUCCGAAUGGGGAAACCCAGUGUGAUUCGUCACACUAUCAUUAACUGAAUCCAUAGGUUAAUGAGGCGAACCGGGGGAACUGAAACAUCUAAGUACCCCGAGGAAAAGAAAUCAACCGAGAUUCCCCCAGUAGCGGCGAGCGAACGGGGAGGAGCCCAGAGCCUGAAUCAGUGUGUGUGUUAGUGGAAGCGUCUGGAAAGGCGCGCGAUACAGGGUGACAGCCCCGUACACAAAAAUGCACAUGCUGUGAGCUCGAUGAGUAGGGCGGGACACGUGGUAUCCUGUCUGAAUAUGGGGGACCAUCCUCCAAGGCUAAAUACUCCUGACUGACCGAUAGUGAACCAGUACCGUGAGGGAAAGGCGAAAAGAACCCCGGCGAGGGGAGUGAAAAAGAACCUGAAACCGUGUACGUACAAGCAGUGGGAGCACGCUUAGGCGUGUGACUGCGUACCUUUUGUAUAAUGGGUCAGCGACUUAUAUUCUGUAGCAAGGUUAACCGAAUAGGGGAGCCGAAGGGAAACCGAGUCUUAACUGGGCGUUAAGUUGCAGGGUAUAGACCCGAAACCCGGUGAUCUAGCCAUGGGCAGGUUGAAGGUUGGGUAACACUAACUGGAGGACCGAACCGACUAAUGUUGAAAAAUUAGCGGAUGACUUGUGGCUGGGGGUGAAAGGCCAAUCAAACCGGGAGAUAGCUGGUUCUCCCCGAAAGCUAUUUAGGUAGCGCCUCGUGAAUUCAUCUCCGGGGGUAGAGCACUGUUUCGGCAAGGGGGUCAUCCCGACUUACCAACCCGAUGCAAACUGCGAAUACCGGAGAAUGUUAUCACGGGAGACACACGGCGGGUGCUAACGUCCGUCGUGAAGAGGGAAACAACCCAGACCGCCAGCUAAGGUCCCAAAGUCAUGGUUAAGUGGGAAACGAUGUGGGAAGGCCCAGACAGCCAGGAUGUUGGCUUAGAAGCAGCCAUCAUUUAAAGAAAGCGUAAUAGCUCACUGGUCGAGUCGGCCUGCGCGGAAGAUGUAACGGGGCUAAACCAUGCACCGAAGCUGCGGCAGCGACGCUGAUGCGUUGUUGGGUAGGGGAGCGUUCUGUAAGCCUGCGAAGGUGUGCUGUGAGGCAUGCUGGAGGUAUCAGAAGUGCGAAUGCUGACAUAAGUAACGAUAAAGCGGGUGAAAAGCCCGCUCGCCGGAAGACCAAGGGUUCCUGUCCAACGUUAAUCGGGGCAGGGUGAGUCGACCCCUAAGGCGAGGCCGAAAGGCGUAGUCGAUGGGAAACAGGUUAAUAUUCCUGUACUUGGUGUUACUGUGAAGGGGGGACGGAGAAGGCUAUGUUGGCCGGGCGACGGUUGUCCCGGUUUAAGCGUGUAGGCUGGUUUUCCAGGCAAAUCCGGAAAACUAAGGCUGAGGCGUGAUGACGAGGCACUACGGUGCUGAAGCAACAAAUGCCCUGCUUCCAGGAAAAGCCUCUAAGCAUCAGGUAACAUCAAAUCGUACCCCAAACCGACACAGGUGGUCAGGUAGAGAAUACCAAGGCGCUUGAGAGAACUCGGGUGAAGGAACUAGGCAAAAUGGUGCCGUAACUUCGGGAGAAGGCACGCUGAUAUGUAGGUGAAGUCCCUCGCGGAUGGAGCUGAAAUCAGUCGAAGAUACCAGCUGGCUGCAACUGUUUAUUAAAAACACAGCACUGUGCAAACACGAAAGUGGACGUAUACGGUGUGACGCCUGCCCGGUGCCGGAAGGUUAAUUGAUGGGGUCAGCGCAAGCGAAGCUCUUGAUCGAAGCCCCGGUAAACGGCGGCCGUAACUAUAACGGUCCUAAGGUAGCGAAAUUCCUUGUCGGGUAAGUUCCGACCUGCACGAAUGGCGUAAUGAUGGCCAGGCUGUCUCCACCCGAGACUCAGUGAAAUUGAACUCGCUGUGAAGAUGCAGUGUACCCGCGGCAAGACGGAAAGACCCCGUGAACCUUUACUAUAGCUUGACACUGAACAUUGAGCCUUGAUGUGUAGGAUAGGUGGGAGGCUUUGAAGUGUGGACGCCAGUCUGCAUGGAGCCGACCUUGAAAUACCACCCUUUAAUGUUUGAUGUUCUAACGUUGACCCGUAAUCCGGGUUGCGGACAGUGUCUGGUGGGUAGUUUGACUGGGGCGGUCUCCUCCUAAAGAGUAACGGAGGAGCACGAAGGUUGGCUAAUCCUGGUCGGACAUCAGGAGGUUAGUGCAAUGGCAUAAGCCAGCUUGACUGCGAGCGUGACGGCGCGAGCAGGUGCGAAAGCAGGUCAUAGUGAUCCGGUGGUUCUGAAUGGAAGGGCCAUCGCUCAACGGAUAAAAGGUACUCCGGGGAUAACAGGCUGAUACCGCCCAAGAGUUCAUAUCGACGGCGGUGUUUGGCACCUCGAUGUCGGCUCAUCACAUCCUGGGGCUGAAGUAGGUCCCAAGGGUAUGGCUGUUCGCCAUUUAAAGUGGUACGCGAGCUGGGUUUAGAACGUCGUGAGACAGUUCGGUCCCUAUCUGCCGUGGGCGCUGGAGAACUGAGGGGGGCUGCUCCUAGUACGAGAGGACCGGAGUGGACGCAUCACUGGUGUUCGGGUUGUCAUGCCAAUGGCACUGCCCGGUAGCUAAAUGCGGAAGAGAUAAGUGCUGAAAGCAUCUAAGCACGAAACUUGCCCCGAGAUGAGUUCUCCCUGACUCCUUGAGAGUCCUGAAGGAACGUUGAAGACGACGACGUUGAUAGGCCGGGUGUGUAAGCGCAGCGAUGCGUUGAGCUAACCGGUACUAAUGAACCGUGAGGCUUAACCUUACAACGCCGAAGCUGUU
rnacentral:rRNA from 1 species